ACUGAUUCUGUAUCUUAUUUCAUGCUUAAUCAUGAGUUUAAUUUUCAAUUUACAUUUUUAAGCAGUGUUGAAUGAUUACUAUGUGAGUUGCUAAAUUUUUUUUUGUUUUGUUUGUUUUAUUUAUUUUUUUAUUUUUUUUUAGGAUUUACAUUUAAAAAAAUUAGCCUACUUCAAACAUUUUAAGCAGCUUGAACAAAACCUGUUAAUAUUUAUUACAGACCACUGUAACUGUCUAUAAUCUAAAAAACAAAUUUAUUAUGAAAAUAAAGGUGUGUACACCAGUUAAAUUGGACGAUAAAGAAAUUGCUAACAAUAGUUU
ensembl:lncRNA